UUGUAGCCACAAUGACCAAGUAGAUGUCUUUUGGAUUCGUUUUUUGCCUCGAAGAGGAUGCAGCCUUCACGUUGAAGGAGAACCUAGCUGUGGAUUCAGUCCUUUAUGACCUGCCAAAGGAAGCAUUUGAAGAAGAGAAACAUCGAGAUCUUUAUGUAGUAAUAAAACCUAAAAAUAUAAGCAGCUAAAAGCAACCAACAAGAGAAAAGGGAAGAAUAAUGUACUUGCGAUGAGGCACGAAAAUUUGUCCGUAGAUUCUUGUCAAUCAUCUCCCUGUGCCAUCUCCGUAUAUGGAUCAGUGACAACAUCUUCAUGCUGAGCUACUGCCUAUGGACAACGCCUUCAUACUAUUUACAUGACCGCAUCAUUUGUUCUAAAUUCUUUUGGAAAUAUAAAUUAUUGCGUAGGUGCAAAUACACAAGUAAGUAACGUAGAAGGAAACAAACAAGCAUACAGUCUUGAUAGUAGGACGACAUCAUCGAAUCCCUGCUCCAAAUAGCUUCUUUACUCU
rnacentral:lncRNA from 1 species